GUCAACAGCUGUCCAGGGCCCCCCCGGGCAAAGCUUCAGCCACCCCGCUGGAAUCAGACCCGGAAGGCUUCCCGGGCCCCACAGCAGAGCCAGGCCCUGUUCUGGGGCCGGAGGAAUCCCCACAGUCUCCACUCCCCGCCCGGGAGCCACGGCAGGACGAGCCCAGCCCUUGCUGGGCCUCACAGGCCGUGGGGAAAGGGGCCAGCCACACUACAGCUCCAAUACCUUUCCAGGCCGGAAACCAAGAGAGCCAGAAGCUCCCGGGCUUAGGUUUAAAAGUUACCUGCGCCACUGCAGUCCAUGCAUGACCUGUACAAGCACCUGCUGCCUAGAGUCCUUACAGGAUCUGAAUUUUGUUUAUUUGUUUGGUUGCAUCACCUGUCAGAUGCAGAAAAUUCUACUGAGAAGAGCACGGCAAGUUCCAUGCACCUCCCACCUCAACACUGUCUGAUUCUGUUAGUGGUCUGGCUGUGAUGAGAACUAGGUCUGAAAGCUAUGAAUAUCCUUCACUGGGCUAGAAUAGGAGCAACACUAUUUGGACAGAAAUAGAACAAGCUGAAAGAUAACCAUCCAUGAAGAAAAAGGAAAAUCCAGUAUUGCUGACAAGUGGGUGUUUCUCCCUCAUUUACAUCCUCUGUCUUUAUUGCAAGUUGCAAUGGCUGGGCCAGCAUCUGAUGAUCCUGGUUACAGUGCUCCUGUGGAAAGAGCUGCUGUGCAAGACUGAAGGGGAGUUUGCUUUACAAUCCACUUUCCACACAGAGGCAACAUUGGGAAUUCUCAUUUCCAGCUAACCUAGAAAGGCUAUGCCCCAUGGCCGUUCUACAAAAGCCACCCAAGUUCUGUGUCAUGACAGGCAGUAAUACAGAAAUUACAAAUACAGCAGAGCUAUAUAGCUGCCUUUUGAAGGGGGAAAAAAAAAUACCCAACCCACACUCUUACUAGGAUAAAGCAAAAAGGCACUUCUCAGACACUACAACUUCUAGAUUAUUGACUUGAACAAUUAAAGAUCUUCUUACCAAUUGAAAGCAUAUUUUUAAAACUAGAAAAGUAGCAGACUGACAUUACUACGAAUGCAGUAUCUCAUACUCCAUGUACCAAACCCUGCUCUCAUUUACAGAAUAAAAUGGAAUAACCCACUAAAGACAUUAUUCCAAAAUUUUAUUUCUAUAGCAGAGAAAGUUAUUUCAUCUUAGAAAACUCAGUUUUACUGACAGCUGUCUUCUUUAGCCACUUACACAAACACAAAACAAACAGAACUUGUUACUGCUGCUACAGAAACACCAUACAACACCAGAGCUGAAGCAUUCUUAAUGCUCCAUUUGCACAAAUAUGCACAAGACACCAAACCACAUUUAACACCUAGAUUUUACACCCACUUGCAUGUUUCUGAGCCAUUUUCAUUACAGAAAUGUGCACUCUAGGUUUCGUGCAUCUUACUAGCAUUUGUAUAAUAUGCUAAGAUCACGCUUGAUGACUAAACAAACAAUACACAAACUUGAUGGUACACGAACAGCUGUGAAAAUACAAUAAAAUCUUUUUCCCCACAUUACUUUCUUCCUCUUAAUUGUCCAUUACAUAUCCACCUCUUACAGUCAUGUUAAAACACAGGGUCUUCCUAGUGCCUCAUAUUAAGAGAUUUCAGUCUAUUUGCCAAAAUAGUGUUUUUGCAGCAAGAAACUAUGACUGGCAAGAGUACGGGUAACAGAAUGAAAGAAAUUGAAUGAAAGAUACAAAGGAAAGUGGUUUAGUUAUUUAUAUAUGUUAAGAGAA